rnacentral:rRNA from 1 species
UCGCCCUUAGAGUUUGAUCCUGGCUCAGGAUGAACGCUAGCGGCAGGCUUAAUACAUGCAAGUCGAGGGGCAGCACAGGUAGCAAUACUGGGUGGCGACCGGCAAACGGGUGCGGAACACGUACACAACUUACCUCAGGGUGGGGGAUAGCCCAGGGAAACUUGGAUUAAUACCCCAUAAAACAGGGGGCCCGCAUGGGCAUAUUGUUAAAGAUUUAUCGCCUUGAGAUGGGUGUGCGUAUGAUUAGGUAGUUGGUAGGGUAAAGGCCUACCAAGCCGACGAUCAUUAACUGGUGUGAGAGCACGACCAGUCACACGGGCACUGAGACACGGGCCCGACUCCUACGGGAGGCAGCAGUAAGGAAUAUUGGUCAAUGGACGGAAGUCUGAACCAGCCAUGCCGCGUGGAGGAUGAAGGUCCUCUGGAUUGUAAACUUCUUUUAUAGGGGGCGAAAAUGGGCCUUUUGAGGUCAACUGACGGUACCCUAUGAAUAAGCACCGGCUAACUCCGUGCCAGCAGCCGCGGUAAUACGGAGGGUGCAAGCGUUAUCCGGAUUUACUGGGUUUAAAGGGAGCGUAGGCGGGCUGAUAAGUCAGUGGUGAAAGCCCUCAGCUUAACUGAGGAACUGCCGUUGAUACUAUUAGUCUUGAAUGUUGUGGAGGUUUGCGGAAUAGGUCAUGUAGCGGUGAAAUGCUUAGAUAUGACCUGGAACACCUAUUGCGAAGGCAGCAGGCUACACAAAUAUUGACGCUGAGGCUCGAAAGCGUGGGGAUCAAACAGGAUUAGAUACCCUGGUAGUC